rnacentral:rRNA from 1 species
GCAUAUCAAUAAGCGGAGGAAAAGAAACCAACAGGGAUUGCCCCAGUAACGGCGAAGUGAAGCGGCAACAGCUUCAAAUUUGAAAUCUGGCCCCCUCGGGGCCCGAGUUGUAAUUUGCAGAGGGAGCUUUUGGCGUCGGUCGUGGUCUAAGUUCCUUGGAACAGGACGUCACAGAGGGUGAGAAUCCCGUACGUGGCCGCCGGCCUUCGCCUUGUAAAGCCCCUUCGACGAGUCGAGUUGUUUGGGAAUGCAGCUCUAAAUGGGAGGUAAAUUCCUUCUAAAGCUAAAUACCCGCCAGAGACCGAUAGCGCACAAGUAGAGUGAUCGAAAGAUGAAAAGCACUUUGGAAAGAGAGUGAAAAAGCACGUGAAAUUGUUGAAAGGGAAGCGCUUGCGGCUAGACGUGCCCGCGGUUGAUCAUCCAGGCUCCGGCCUGGUGCACUCCUCCGCGGGCAGGCCAGCAUCAGUUCGGGCGGUCGGAUAAAGGCCUCUGUCACGUACCACCCCUCGGGGUGGCCUUAUAGGGGAGGCGCAACACGGCCAGCCCGGACUGAGGUUCCGCGCAUCUGCUAGGAUGCUGGCGUAAUAGCAGCAAGCGGCCCGUCUUGAAACACGGACCAAGGAGUCUAACAUCUAUGCGAGUGUUUGGGUGUCAAGCCCGAGCGCGCAAUGAAAGUGAACGGAGGUGGGAACCCUCACGGGUGCACCAUCGACCGAUCCUGAUGUCUUCGGAUGGAUUUGAGUAAGAGCAUAGCUGUUGGGACCCGAAAGAUGGUGAACUAUGCCUGAAUAGGGUGAAGCCAGAGGAAACUCUGGUGGAGGCUCGCAGCGGUUUCUGACGUGCAAAUCGAUCGUCAAAUUUGGGCAUAGGGGCGAAAGACUAAUCGAACCAUCUAGUAGCUGCUCUGCC